CGCUGCUGAACCCUUGCGCCGGAGUUCCCCAGGGUCGCCGUGAAGUCCUCAGCCCAGGUUUGCCCCCGUCUGAGGCGUGGGAACGAGGAGAAAACUCCUCCAGCAAGGGAGGCACAGAAAAAUGAGGCAUUUUCCUGAAGGUCUCUCAAGAUUUACUCAUCAGAAUUGCACUCUCUGGUUGCUGAUGUUGAAAGAGAUGAAUAUUCAUCAGGAGAGCACUGGCAACAAGAAUUCCUGGAAAGAAGUUGUGUCUGCAAACACGGAUUGAUUAGACCUGUAGUGAUGUGGAGAGGUUGGGAUGUUGCCUGUCCAGAGGCUAAUCACCUUAUCUCGGCUCACUUCAGGGCAACCCAAAAGCUAAGGAUGUCAUCAGAUAACAUCUGAGGCCUUUAGGAAAGCUUCUCCCAUCAUUACAUUGGCUUGAUUUAUGCAUUUGUCCUGUAAAACUUCAAAACUUUGUGAAGCUAUUUCCACAUUGGAACAUGUAAUUCGGGGUAACCUACAUCUGUGUUCUUGAGCCUUGGCCACUCAAAUAUGGCUCAAGAAUAAACACUUAUUCCCUUUAC